rnacentral:rRNA from 1 species
GAUGAACGCUAGCGAUAGGCUUAACACAUGCAAGUCGAGGGGCAGCAUGGUCUUAGCUUGCUAAGGCUGAUGGCGACCGGCGCACGGGUGCGUAACGCGUAUGCAACUUGCCUCACAGAGGGGGAUAACCCGUCGAAAGACGGACUAAUACCGCGUACACUCUAUGUUGGGCAUCCAAUGUAGAGGAAAUGAAAUUCGCUGUGAGAUAGGCAUGCGUCCCAUUAGCUAGUUGGUGAGGUAACGGCUCACCAAGGCGACGAUGGGUAGGGGAACUGAGAGGUUGAACCCCCACACUGGUACUGAGACACGGACCAGACUCCUACGGGAGGCAGCAGUGAGGAAUAUUGGUCAAUGGGCGAGAGCCUGAACCAGCCAAGUCGCGUGAAGGAUGACUGUCUUAUGGAUUGUAAACUUCUUUUAUACGGGAAUAACAAGAGUCACGUGUGGCUCCCUGCAUGUACCGGAUGAAUAGCAUCGGCUAACUCCGUG